rnacentral:rRNA from 1 species
UACGUAGGGGGCAAGCGUUGUCCGGAAUCAUUGGGCGUAAAGAGCGUGUAGGCGGCCCGGUAAGUCUGUUGUGAAAGUCCAGGGCUCAACCCUGGAAUGCCGAUGGAUACUGCCGGGCUAGAGUUCGGAAGAGGCGAGUGGAAUUCCGUGGUGUAGCGGUGGAAUGCGCAGAUAUCAGGAGGAACACCUAUAGCGAAGGCAGCUCGCUGGGACGACACUGACGCUGAGACGCGAAAGCGUGGGGAGCGAACAGG